GACGAACGCUGGCGGCGUGCUUAACACAUGCAAGUCGAACGGAAAGGCCCUGCUUUUGUGGGGUGCUCGAGUGGCGAACGGGUGAGUAACACGUGAGUAACCUGCCCUUGACUUUGGGAUAACUUCAGGAAACUGGGGCUAAUACCGGAUAGGAGCUCCUGCUGCAUGGUGGGGGUUGGAAAGUUUCGGCGGUUGGGGAUGGACUCGCGGCUUAUCAGCUUGUUGGUGGGGUAGUGGCUUACCAAGGCUUUGACGGGUAGCCGGCCUGAGAGGUUGACCGGCCACAUGGGGACUGAGAGACGGCCCAGACUCCUACGGGAGGCAGCAGUGGGGAAUAUUGCACAAUGGGCGGAAGCCUGAUGCAGCAACGCCGCGUGCGUGAUGACGGCCUUCGGGUUGUAAACCGCUUUCGCCUGUGACGAAGCGUGAGUGACGGUAAUGGGUAAAGAAGCACCGGCUAACUACGUG
rnacentral:rRNA from 1 species